rnacentral:sRNA from 1 species
CAAGGUUUUAAUGUCAUCGCUAUGCGCGCUUGCGCGCUUAUAGCGAUGAACAUUCAAAACCUGCAAGGGCAUGAGGAACGCAGGACGAAGUCCGAAGUUCCGAAUGACCAGGAGCGCGGGAGUGCGAAGCACGGAGCGAUCCGU